rnacentral:rRNA from 1 species
AUUGAACGCUGGCGGAAUGCUUUACACAUGCAAGUCGAACGGCAGCACGGACUUCGGUCUGGUGGCGAGUGGCGAACGGGUGUGUAAUGUAUCGGAACGUGCCCAGUCGUGGGGGAUAACGUAGUGAAAAUUACGCUAAUACCGCAUACGAUCUAUGGAUGAAAGCGGGGGAUCGCAAGACCUCGCGCGAUUGGAGCGGCCGAUAUCAGAUUAGGUAGUUGGUGGGGCAAAGGCCCACCAAGCCAACGAUCUGUAGCUGGUCUGAGAGGACGACCAGCCACACUGGAACUGAGACACGGUCCAGACUCCUACGGGAGGCAGCAGUGGGGAAUUUUGGACAAUGGGCGAAAGCCUGAUCCAGCCAUUCCGCGUGCAGGAUGAAGGCCCUCGGGUUGUAAACUGCUUUUGUACAGAACGAAAAGGUUUCUACUAAUACUAGGAGCUCAUGACGGUACUGUAAGAAUAAGCACCGGCUAACUACGUACCAGCCGCCGCGGUAA